AUCUUUUUGCAGUUCAUAAGCUUGAUGAUUGGGUGUUCACACCGUUGUGUGACAUGUGGCUUCCUCAAACCUUGUUAUGACAUCCAUGCAUGACCCGUCUGACA
ensembl:snoRNA small nucleolar RNA U13